rnacentral:tRNA from 1 species
GGAUCCUUAGCUCAGCUGGUCAGAGCGCUAGCCUGAUAAGCUAGAGGUCCCCGGUUCAAUUCCGGGAGGGUCCG